AAAGUGCGUUUUGUUAUCAAUUUCGACGAAUUUUUGAAUUUGAAAUGCGUGUUUUCUGUUCUAAAAAUGUGUUGAAAAAUUGAAAAAUGAAGAUUAAAAGUAAUUCUGAACUUGUUAAUAAGUUCGCCAAGUACACCAAAGACCCUACUGCAUUUCUGAGUGUACAAACCGAACUAGAAUGUAAAAUAAAACCUCUACUGAAGCAGUUAUAUGAUCUCACUAAGCAAACAGAAGACGUAGUUGAGAAAGAUAAACCCACUUUACCAAACUUAGUGAUAAAAGAUUUUGACACGGAGCAAAUAUGGCAACAAAUCGAAUUACAGAAUCAGUUCAUCGCUGAUAAGCUCAGUAGUCGAUUUACGGAAUAUGUUUCAAAUAAUAACGUAGUUCCUUCAGACAACGAUGAAGAUUCUCAAGAUGAAAUCCAAGACGAAGAAAACGGUAGUGAUAAUGACUCUUCUGAUGAUGAAGAUGACGUAGAUAUCGAGGAAGAUGGUGAUCCAACGAGUAUCGACGAAGAAGAUUUAGAAGAAGAAGAAAUUGAAGAUGAUGGACUUGAGAAUGGUGAUGAUGAUGAUGAUGAAGAUGAUGCCGAAUCUGACGAGUCCAUUGAUUAUUUUCAAGAUAUUCCGUCCGAUGAUGAAAACAAAGAUAUAGAAAAGAGCGAAGAGAAUGAGAAAAAAUUUGGGCCAAUGUACAAUGACUUUUUCGAAGACCCUAAAGUAAUCGAAGAAAAACAACAGCAAGGUGUUGGGAAAAAACGCGUCAAAUUCGAUUUGGACGACGACGACGUUGAAGAAAGCGAUCAUGGCGAAGAAGACGAAAACUCUGAAUUUAAAUCUACAUUCGAAAUGCGUCAAGAACGAUUACGUCAACGAGUCGAUCAACUUGAAAACGAAGCUUUAUCUGAAAAACCAUGGCACAUGAUUGGAGAAGUCAACGCUAAAAAAAGACCUCAGAAUUCACUUCUGGAACAAAAUUUAGAAUUCGAUUUCACCGUUAGGCCAGCUCCUAUUAUAACCGAAGAAGUAGCUUUAAAACUAGAAGAUAUUAUUAUUCAAAGGGUUAAAGAUAAAGCAUGGGACGAUGUCGAAAGAAAAAUCAAACCGGUCGAUGCACCUUUAGAGUUCAGGAAAAAAAUAGUAUUGAAUCAAGAAAAAAGCAAACUGAGUUUGGCUCAAGUUUAUGAGCAAGAAUACCUUAAACAAAAAGAAGCUGUAGAUGGAGAUAAAAGUAAAGUAGAAGAAGAACCUAAAGAACAUAAGCAUUUAAAAGCCUUGAUGAAUUCGUUGUUUCUAAAAUUAGAUGCUUUAUCUAACUAUCACUAUACUCCGAGACCGGCUGCUCAAGAAAUUCAAAUCAUUACCAAUUUACCAGCAUUAUCUAUGGAAGAAGCCAUCCCAGUCACUGUUUCAAACGCUGCUUUGGCAGCUCCUGAAGAAGUUCUGGAUAAAAAGAGUGGCGAUUUGGUUGGUAAAGAAGAACGAUCUAGUACCGAUAAGAAACGAGCUCGUAGACGUAAAAAAGUAAAACAAAGAGAAAAGUAUAAAAAUAUCGAAAACAAACAGAAAUUACUCAGUAAAUUGAAACCAGGAAUGGCUCAGAGAGAGAAACUCAAAAAAGAUCUCGAGAAAAUGGCUAAAAAUAAAACUUUAUCUCAUUUCAAAGAAGAUACAGAUGCGAAACAGAGUACCAAAUCUUCGACUAAAUUCUUCGAAAAGUUACAAGAUACGGUUACGAAUAAAGAUAAAGUCAAGAAGAGGAAGAAAGAUAGUAAUCAUCUGGACGCUAAAAAAAUCAAAUUGUGAUACAAAUUUGCUCAGAUAUCUCAGUAAAAAACAGAACAUGGACCAAAAAAAAGAUUCGAUCUUGGUCACUGAAAUAUGGACCGUUGUGGAUCACUAUUAAAACACUGUACCAACAUUUAAAGUCUUCGCAUUUAGUUGAUUUCAGCUGGACGAUUUUGUAAAUUAUUUUGGGCACUGCUAAUAUAUUUUUUUCUUUGACGAGAAUUACGUAAUUAUUUAUCCCGAGCUGUUUAUUUGGCAAUUGAAGGUACUGAUUUACUCCGGCGAUUAUUUUUAAUGGUUUAUUUGAUAUCUGAGCUCAAGUGAAAGACGAUUGUAUGAUUAAUAAAUUGAAACACAAAAGUAAUAAUGAGUAUGAGAAUUUUUACUUACCCGAGACAAUGUGUAUAAAUAUUCAUCAACAUUUCGUAAUAUAUUUUCUAUUGUGCUGCUCCAUAUCGGAAUGGUUGGUAUGUUAGAGCAUUGUAGCUGUGUCGAUGAAGAGCCAAAUUGAAAUUGAUCUGAAGGGAGUAGUAGCCAUUUCAUUAAACACUUGUGUUCUGAUGAGCAUGCUCCUUCAGAUCCGAUUGGAGGUAGUGU